AACACACUUAAGCAAUACAAAAGAACAUAAAAAGAGACAUUUGCUUCCCUAAACUUUAGUGCGGAUUUCACCAGUGACCAUGGUAGCCAGAUACUUCCUUCUGCUGUUUGUCCUCAGUGGAGCUGACAGUUCUCGGAUUAUUGGAGGCCGAGAUGCUGCCCCCCACUCACUCCCCUACAUGGCCUCAGUGCAACUUCAAGGUCGCCAUUUGUGUGGAGGAGCACUAGUGAGAGAGGACUUUGUACUCACAGCAGCACAUUGUGAGACACGUUGUUUGAUUUAAUAUGCAGCAUUUGCAGAACUGACAAAAAACCUCUCUAUCAGUUUUUCUACAUAUCAUAAUAGGUGCUUCGUGGAAGAAAAACUAUUAACAUUGGGUCCUUGAUAACAUAAUAAAUGUUGCUGCAAUUUGUAGAAUACCCACAGUCGUGCUGGGAGUUGAUUCCCUGACAGUACCUGUCAGGGAAUCAGCAGCAGUUUGACCACAAGGAAAGCAGCAGUUCCUUGUGGUCAAAUCUUUAAAGCAUCCAGGCUAUGAUGGACACAAAAACGAUAUCAUGCUCCUCAAGGGAUCACUGUUGAACUCGAACAAAAGUUACUGGAUCGUCUUUGUAAUAAUCCAGACGGAUUUGGUGCUUGAGGCCUGGAUCAACAUGUCAAUCGUUCAUCAAAACUGGUGAGUGAUAAUAUUGUUUAACAGUGAAGCUAGAAGACAUUAUUUCACUACAAAGACUGAUGAACUAAGUUGUACUAAAUUGGUGCAUAAUUGGAUCGCUAAUUGAAACAUGCCAACGCU